rnacentral:tRNA from 1 species
GGGUUAGUAGUUAAUAUUAUAUAAUGGGAGUCUUGUAAACUUCAGUAAGUUGAUACUCUAACCCU